rnacentral:SRP_RNA from 1 species
GCUGGGUGUGGUGGCGGGCGCCUGUAAUCCCAGCUACUCGGGAGGCUGAGGCAGGAGAAUCGCUUGAACCUGGGAGGCGGAGGUUGCAGUGAGCCGAGAUUGCAUGCCACUGUACUCCAGCCUGGGUGAUAGAGUGAGACUCUGUCUCAA